AUNGCAAUAAACAAGAACGGGUUGUUGCUGGCUCUCCAGGGAGCAUGUGCACGCUUGGUCUCG
rnacentral:rRNA from 1 species